rnacentral:lncRNA from 1 species
GCCACCAAGAUCAUGCCAAGAAGAUACUCUUCAGAUAUCUCACAAUCUAGGAUUUGAUUUUUGACUCCAACAUAUAGAAAAAUCAAACCAUAGGGCACACUAGCAACACUUGCUAAUUCUCUAACCACCCUUCUUACAACUUUUGCCACUUAAUUUCUCCUUGCCUUUUUCUUAGAUUUUUUUUAGAAUUUUUUUUCUGAUCUACAU